CAAGUGUCAUCAUGAGCGCCCGCCGAAGGAAUGGGAUUUUUCCAAUGAAGCAAUUAUGUCCGGGCAAACCCCAUCCCACAGGACUCAAAGCCUUUGUAUUUGCCAAUCCCAAUGGACUAGUAUGUGAUUUACAUAUUUAUCAAGGCGAAACUACAUAUCCGGAUUACGCAGGAACUGAAUUUGGCCUGGCCGAAAAAGCUGGAUAAUCUGGUCCCAGGCCAUGUUCUCUACUUUGACCAAUUUAUUACGUCCCAAAGAUAUAUAUGAGCUUUAUAACAGAGGUAUUGGAUGCACCAGCACGCUGAAGAAAGAUGGAAUCCCUCGCGAUUGUCCCAUUAAACAAGACUACGAACUCAAAGAAACGGGUAGAGGAAGUUCCCAUGUUCUAGUAAAAGAAGACAAUAUAUAUAAAUAAAAUAUAAUAUAAUAAACCGA